rnacentral:rRNA from 1 species
CACGCUGUAAACGGUGGGUACUAGGUGUGGGAUCCUUUCCGUGGGUUCUGUGCCGUAGCUAACGCAUUAAGUACCCCGCCUGGGGAGUACGGCCGCAAGGCUAAAACUCAAAGGAAUUGACGGGGACCCGCACAAGCGGCGGAGCAUGCGGAUUAAUUCGAUGCAACGCGAAGAACCUUACCAAGGCUUGACAUGCACCGGUACAGUGUAGAGAUAUGCUGGCCUUUUGGGCUGGUGUGCAGGUGG